UGCAGUGUUGACAAUAGAAAAUUAUAUUGGGAAGUUGUCAUUUCUACAGUAAAAACAGCUUUUUUUUCAAGUAGUACGAAUUGUGACUUCGAUUUAUCUGUGGAAUUAUUUGAACAGAAGGUAAAGCAGUAAUUUUGUUGUAUUUAGAAAGCAAACAGUGUCAUAUUUUUAAAAAUAUAGCGCACUGAAUAUAAAUUUGAGCAUCAUUAAAAUGUGUUCGCUAUGAUGCCAUUUUGUCUCCGGUAUAUACGGAGUUCUGCUUUUAUACUUGUGGAUAUUCGAAUUUAUUUGGCUCAAAAACACCAUUACUUCAAUAUCCCUUUCUUGUUUUUCCUUGGAUAGGUUUUAACAAGAUAGAACUCGAGAUUACUUGGGUCCAAAGACGCUAGAUUAUAAAAUCUUGAUGUGACUUGAUACUACAAAUAGAAUAUGUCUUAUAUUUAAUACUACAAAUAGAAUGUCUUUUAAGUACAAACUUCAAUGAAUUGAUAAAGUGUAAGGAUAGUGUUUAAAGUCGCUUCAUGUGUAGAAGCUGAAUUACUUUAGUUUAUACACUGUAUAUUGUCAAGAUCACAUGUUGAUAUGACUUACUAGCAACUUACUACAGACUUACUACUUAUUUAUAAUACUUUAGAGUUUGGACAUUAGAACAUUGCAAUUGCCUGACAGAGACUGUUAGGGCCUGUUUGUAUGGAAGCCGGGCUGGCCCGCUUAGCAAGACAGCCCGGUAAGGUAUAGGUAAGCAGGAUGAUUUCUCUUGUGUUUAUUUGAGAAAAUUUCAUUCCGCUUACCGGGACAAUUUUGUUGUUUUCAUUGACAUUAUUUUGCCAGUUGUUAAAAAUAGCUUGCGGCGGUAUCUUUGAACUUUCAUCCCGGCAACCGGGCUAGCCUGCUUAUGAUUGUUUAUGUGGAGAAAUUUCCAUCCUGGUCUUGGCAACCGGGCCUGCCUGCUUGUCCAUAGAAAUGAUAAUUUGUACUAUAAAAAUAACUAGACAGUGAGAUCUCACUUACCGGGCUGUCUCACUUAGUGGGCCAGCCAGUUUCGAUAUAAACAGGCCCUUAGACAACUGCUAAAAGCUGCAAGUUUUAAAGCAAUAUCAUCUAUAUCACAGAAUACUAGUGACAUACUUUGUGUUUUUUCUGUUAUUUUUGUACAAUACCUUUUUGAAAUUGUUGAUACUGGUCUCAUUGUAACUCA
rnacentral:lncRNA from 1 species